rnacentral:antisense_RNA from 1 species
CGUCCUGAUCUGCAGUGUAAACCUUUGUCAAGGGGUUCAUUUCCUUGAAUUUAUCUAUACAUACUAUUCUCUGCUUACCAAUAUCUUCUUCUUCUAGUAGGAAAUUACAUGCUAGGUCACAGUUACGAACAUUGAUAUUAUCCCAUAUUGAUGCUUUAAUCCCUAGAAAAAAAAAUGAAGGAAAUGAUAAUGGAUUUAAUUAAGAUUUGUUUAAAAAAAAAAAAGCUUACCUGCCAAAACAAUAUUUUUGAUGAAUUCGAAGUGUAUUGGGCUCAAGCCUAAAAUCAAUAGUUCACUAUUCAUCAGUCUGC